rnacentral:ncRNA from 1 species
AAUCCAUCCCGAGCGGCCGAGAGACCUGGCUCGUUGACGCCGCAGCAACCACCCCUCGGGGGCAGGUGCUAACGCCAGGAGCGAUGGAGC